rnacentral:rRNA from 1 species
CAGUCGCCACGGUAAAACGAAGGGGGCUAGCGUUGUUCGGAUUUACUGGGCGUAAAGGGCGCGUAGGCGGAUUUGUAAGUCAGGGGUGAAAUCCCGAGGCUCAACCUCGGAACUGCCUUUGAUACUGUGGAUCUUGAGUCCGGGAGAGGUGAGUGGAACUGCGAGUGUAGAGGUGAAAUUCGUAGAUAUUCGCAAGAACACCAGUGGCGAAGGCGGCUCACUGGCCCGGAACUGACGCUGAGGCGCGAAAGCGUGGGGAGCAAACAGGAUUAGAUACCCCAGUAGUCCCUGUCUCUUAUAC